rnacentral:rRNA from 1 species
AGAACGAACGCUGGCGGCAGGCUUAACACAUGCAAGUCGAACGCGUGUAGCAAUACACGAGUGGCGCACGGGUGAGUAACGCGUGGAUAUCUGCCUUUUGGUUCGGAAUAACCCCGGGAAACUGGGGCUAAUACCGGAUGGUUCCUACGGGAUAAAGAUUUAUCGCCAAAAGAUGAGCCCGCGUCCGAUUAGCUAGUUGGUGGGGUAAUGGCCUACCAAGGCGACGAUCGGUAGCUGGUCUGAGAGGACGAUCAGCCACACUGGGACUGAGACACGGCCCAGACUCCUACGGGAGGCAGCAGUGGGGAAUAUUGGACAAUGGGGGCAACCCUGAUCCAGCCAUGCCGCGUGAGUGAUGAAGGCCUUCGGGUUGUAAAGCUCGUUUUGGCGGGGACGAUGAUGACGGUACCCACAGAAUAAGCCCCGGCUAACUUCGUGCCAGCAGCCGC